GGGUGCCGGCGGCUUACCAUGCAAGUCGAGCGGGGGAAGGUAGCUUGCUACUGGACCUAGCGGCGGACGGGUGAGUAAUGCUUAGGAAUCUGCCUAUUAGUGGGGGACAACAUUCCGAAAGGAAUGCUAAUACCGCAUACGUCCUACGGGAGAAAGCAGGGGACCUUCGGGCCUUGCGCUAAUAGAUGAGCCUAAGUCGGAUUAGCUAGUUGGUGGGGUAAAGGCCUACCAAGGCGACGAUCUGUAGCGGGUCUGAGAGGAUGAUCCGCCACACUGGGACUGAGACACGGCCCAGACUCCUACGGGAGGCAGCAGUGGGGAAUAUUGGACAAUGGGGGGAACCCUGAUCCAGCCAUGCCGCGUGUGUGAAGAAGGCCUUAUGGUUGUAAAGCACUUUAAGCGAGGAGGAGGCUACUAGUAUUAAUACUACUGGAUAGUGGACGUUACUCGCAGAAUAAGCACCGGCUAACUCUGUGCCAGCAGCCGCGGUAAUACAGAGGGUGCGAGCGUUAAUCGGAUUUACUGGGCGUAAAGCGUGCGUAGGCGGCCAUUUAAGUCAAAUGUGAAAUCCCCGAGCUUAACUUGGGAAUUGCAUUCGAUACUGGAUGGCUAGAGUAUGGGAGAGGAUGGUAGAAUUCCAGGUGUAGCGGUGAAAUGCGUAGAGAUCUGGAGGAAUACCGAUGGCGAAGGCAGCCAUCUGGCCUAAUACUGACGCUGAGGUACGAAAGCAUGGGGAGCAAACAGGAUUAGAUACCCUGGUAGUCCAUGCCGUAAACGAUGUCUACUAGCCGUUGGGGCCUUUGAGGCUUUAGUGGCGCAGCUAACGCGAUAAGUAGACCGCCUGGGGAGUACGGUCGCAAGACUAAAACUCAAAUGAAUUGACGGGGGCCCGCACAAG
rnacentral:rRNA from 1 species